AUAUCAGUUGGUAACGUGGGUAGUCGUGUGUAGAAUACGGUCCGGUGAUGCGUCAUUAUAUUGAAGUACUUAGUCGUGUAAUAAGGUUACAUGUUAGAAUAGUAUUACAUGCCAGGAAUAGAGCAUUAAAAUAAUAAAAAAUGUUCGAAACGUAUGUUUCGUUUAAAUGUACAUAUCAUUGAUAGGAAAGAAUAUCUUGAUUCCUACGUUUAUGAUCGCUCAGUGGAUAAAAGUUAUUGGAGAAAAAAGAUAUAGAGAGAAAACGCUACAAGAAUCGCUUCCGUUGUAGAUUCGAGAGAACUGUUUUAGUAAUGGAUGUAAUGAGAUGUAUAGAAAUACGUGUCGUUCGUGUAGCAACACAUCUUUUUCCAAACGAUCAGUUCGAGAAAAUGAAUUACUCGAGAUCAUGUGCAUGAGAUUUCUUCUUUAAUUAGUUUUAUUUUCAUCAUUUUUAGUAGUAUAUGUUGUGGCACUAAGGAUGCUUACUUGAGAUCAUCAAAAUACUGGCAGGGAAAGGUGUCGUCGUCACGAUGACCCAUGCCUGAUAAGUUUUACCAAAGCACAAUGAUCUCAGUGUGGAAAAAGAUGCGAUCGUAAUAUUCGCUGUUGUAGAUGUCAACAAUAUGUCUCAUAAAAAGUCGCAAAGGCUGUCUGAAAAGAAUUGAAAAAUAAACAGUAAUUGUCGAUAUUGUU